rnacentral:rRNA from 1 species
CCAGCAGCCGCGGUAAUACGGAGGGUCCGAGCGUUAUCCGGAAUCAUUGGGUUUAAAGGGUCCGUAGGCGGGAAUCUAAGUCAGUGGUGAAAUCUUGCAGCUCAACUGUAAAAUUGCCAUUGAUACUGGAUUUCUUGAAUUAGUGUGAAGUGGUUAGAAUGUGUAGUGUAGCGGUGAAAUGCAUAGAUAUUA